UAGGAGUUCUCUUUGGUUACCUAGCUGU
rnacentral:piRNA from 1 species